AUGGUGGAAUCACCUCCCAUCCUCCAUCAGAGACACUGACUUUCUCCCCACAUUCAAGAAAAGGCUAAAGAUGCACUUGUUGCGGGAGUACAGCGGUACUUAGGAAAGAUUUGUUGGAUCAGAGAUGGGAGUCGGGCUUGUAAUCAGAAGGUUGCCGGAUCGAUUCCCCAUGGUGCCAAAUGAAGCGCCACCGUAACCACUGGAGACGCCGCUGCUGCUCACACUCUCCAUGGGGAAGAAGUCCUUGGGCAAGGCACUUCACCCUACUUGCCUCGGGGGGAAUGUCCCUGUACUUACUGUAAGUCGCUCUGGAAAGGAGCGUCUGCUAAAUGACUAAAUGUAAAUGUUCUCUCAAAGCUGCUUGGCUGUGUCGCGAUGGUGGGUUACACUGCCCCCCGGUGGACAAAGUGAGAUGGCUGGUUACACUGCGCCCCGGUGGAUAAAGUGAGAUGGCGGGUUACACUGUGCCCCGGUGGACAAAGUGAGGUGGCGGGUUACACUGCCCCCUGGUGGACCAAUUGAGAUGGCGUGUUACACUGCCCCCUGGUGACAAGCUAUUUGAGACCAGCCUAGUCCCCUCUUGAACAUAUCAAGGUUGAGGUGUAGCCUCAAGUUCACCAGAGGUGACUCGCAACCUAUAGCAACAGAACCCUGAGUAAUCUAAAAGCUAACAAUUGUCCCUCUUUAAGCCAAGCAACAUUUGCAAAAUAUUGUGAAACCAAGUUUCCACACAAUUUGUCAUCAAAUCUAUUUAAUGUAGGGAAAUUGUACACAAUAACUACCAACUAUGUAGUUGGUCACUCUGAGUUAAAAUGUGGUUAAUCCUGACAUCUACGGUUGUGUAUUCAGCACAUCAACAGUUUGAAGAUCAUUGCUUUCUUCAAGCUGAUGAGACUCACUGAAAUUCCUGUUUCUAAUCUCUAUUAGUGUGAAAGGACUGUAAACCAUAGAGAAAAGUAAAGACAAUAAACUUGCUUCGUCAGUAAGGUUUUUAUUGUUUGGUAGCAAAAAGCCCUUAGGCUAGCAGUUGCAGUGUCAGCUUUAGCCAGGGCUGAGAGGAGAACACAGGAGACUAUCUGCUAACCAGAUGUCUGGGCCUGCAAUACACACACACCUCCUCUCAGGGCGAUCGGAGGUCAGGCCUGUUGCAUAGGUCAAACCCGAGGUCA